UGCGGAAUGGGCAUGCCGCAUCACAAGGGCCACCCAGAACUGGCUCAACUCCCAUCAAGCCAAGUUCCCAGAGGGGAUCACCCAGCUCGUCAUGCUAGAGCAUUUUUUCAAUGGGCUCCCCAAUGACACGGAUGGUGAGAGACCGCCAGCCCCACACCCAAGAAGUACUGGUAAGAGCUGCUGAAGCUGCUGAAGCUAACGGGGAAUCAGGGUUCGAUUCCGUAGAGGGAGCCUGAGAAACGGCUACCACAUCCAAGGAAGGCAGUAGGCGCGCAAAUUACUUACUCCCGACGCGGGGAGGUAGUGACG